rnacentral:rRNA from 1 species
GAGUUUGAUCCUGGCUCAGAAUGAACGCCGUUGGCACGCUUAACACAUGCAAGUCGAACGAGAUCUUCGGAUCUAGUGGCAGACGGGUGAGUAACGCGUGGGAACCUGCCCAGUAGUAGAGAAUAACUUGGGGAAACUUAAGCUAAUACUUUAUACGUCCUUCGGGAGAAAGCUUUAUGCGCUAUUGGAUGGGCCCGCGUUAGAUUAGUUUGUUGGUGAGGUAAUGGCUCACCAAGGCGACGAUCUAUAGCUGGUCUGAGAGGAUGAUCAGCCACACUGGGACUGAGACACGGCCCAGACUCCUACGGGAGGCAGCAGUGGGGAAUAUUGGACAAUGGGGGCAACCCUGAUCCAGCGAUGCCGCGUGAGUGAUGAAGGCCCUAGGGUUGUAAAACUCUUUCGUCAGGGAAGAUAAUGACGGUACCUGAAGAAGAAGAUCCGGCUAACUCCGUGCCAGCAGCCGCGGUAAUACGGAGGGGUCUAGCGUUAUUCGGAAUUACUGGGCGUAAAGCGAGCGUAGGCGGAUUUGUAAGUUGGAGGUGAAAUCCCAGAGCUUAACUCUGGAACUGCCUUCAAAACUACAUUUCUUGAGUUUGGUAGAGGAGAGUGGAAUUCCUAGUGUAGAGGUGAAAUUCGUAGAUAUUAGGAGGAACACCAGUGGCGAAGGCGACUCUCUGGGCCAAUACUGACGCUGAGGUUCGAAAGCAUGGGUAGCGAACAGGAUUAGAUACCCUGGUAGUCCAUGCA